UCUUAUUCUACAGUACCUAACACAACUGGAGGGAUUUAAUAGUGCUAAGAGAUACCGAACUACGCAUCUCGAGAUAGCGAAUACUCCUAUGCUACACACCACAGUCCAUUGUGACCAUCUGGACUGUAAAUCUCAAGUUUUUGCUGAAGUUUAUAGUUGAUCGCCGUAGUUCUACCAGAGGAUGCCACGAAACGUUGAGAUCAAAGCCAGAGUCGCAGACCUCCAGAGCUUAAUUACCAGGACCCGAGAUCUGGCCAAUGACCGAGGGUGUUCUGAUUGAACAAGAAGACACUUUUUAUAACGUUCCCGCAGGGGAGGCUUAAGCUGAGAAAUAUUAAGGGGGAACCAGGGCUGCUAAUUCAGUUACGACAGACCAGAUCAGGCUGGGCCGAAGUUAUCGAAAUUUCAUAUGGCGCAGGUGGACGACGUAGAAAAUAUGAAGGUAG